ACCAUCCUUUUCUUGGGGUUGCGCUACUGUCCAAUGAACGUCUAGUGAGGACAGUACUGCUAACGCCUAAAAAAAAAAAAAAAAAGAAAGAAAAGAAAAA